rnacentral:rRNA from 1 species
GCGAACGCUGGCGGCCGGCCUAACCCAUGCACGUCGAACGGAUCCUUCGGGAUUAGUGGCGGACGGGUGAGUAACACGUGGGAACGUGCCCUUUGGUUCGGAACAACUCAGGGAAACUUGAGCUAAUACCGGAUGUGCCCUUCGGGGGAAAGAUUUAUCGCCAUUGGAGCGGCCCGCGUCUGAUUAGCUAGUUGGUGAGGUAACGGCCCACCAAGGCGACGAUCAGUAGCUGGUCUGAGAGGAUGAUCAGCCACACUGGGACUGAGACACGGCCCAGACCCCUACGGGAGGCAGCAGUGGGGAAUCUUGCGCAAUGGGCGAAAGCCUGACGCAGCCAUGCCGCGUGAAUGAUGAAGGUCUUAGGAUUGUAAAAUUCUUUCAGCGGGGACGAUAAUGACGGUACCCGCAGAAGAAGCUCCGGCUAACUUCGUG